rnacentral:rRNA from 1 species
UACGUAGGUGGCAAGCGUUUGUUCGGAAUUAUUGGGCGUAAAGGGCGCGUAGGCGGUCUUGUAAGUCAGCUGUGAAAGCCCGGGGCUCAACCCCGGAGGGUCGGCGAUACUGCAGGACUGGAGUACGGAAGAGGUAGCUGGAAUUCCCCGGUGAGCGGUGAAAUGCGUAGAUAUCGGGAGGAACACCUGAGGCGAAGGCGGGCUACUGGGCCGAUACUGGACGCUGAGGCGCGAAAGCCAGGGGAGCAAGCGGGAUUAAGAUGACCCGGGGUAGUCCCGAGACCAAACGUCGUCUUCGCGUAA